rnacentral:rRNA from 1 species
GACGAACGCUGGCGGCGUGCUUAACACAUGCAAGUCGAACGCUGAAGCUCAGCUUUUGUUGGGUGGAUGAGCGGCGAACGGGUGAGUAACACGUGAGUAACCUGCCUCCUUCUUUGGGAUAACGCCCGGAAACGGGUGCUAAUACUGGAUAUUCACUGGUCUUCGCAUGGGGGUUGGUGGAAAGGGUUGUUCUGGUGGGGGAUGGGCUCGCGGCCUAUCAGCUUGUUGGUGGGGUGAUGGCCUACCAAGGCUGUGACGGGUAGCCGGCCUGAGAGGGUGACCGGUCACAUUGGGACUGCGAUACGGCCCAGACUCCUACGGGAGGCAGCAGUGGGGAAUAUUGCACAAUGGGCGCAAGCCUGAUGCAGCGCCGCCGCGUGAGGGAUGGAGGCCUUCGGGUUGUGAACCUCUUUCGCUCAUGGUCAAGCCGCAACAAUGGUUGUGGUGAGGGUAGUGGGUAAAGAAGCGCCGGCUAACUACGUG